AACCAUUUAAGCACCAAGAAACUGGGUCAGAUUGGUCCAAUUUGUGGGAGCAUGUUAUUAAGAUCAAGAAGAUGAAUGUACUGCUCGCCUAGACCAAUACCUAUUGUAGAUAGGGCUCGCUUGUUGUGCAGCUUCCAUACCUAUUGUAGAUAGGGCUUGCUUGUUGCGCAGCUUCCAGUCUGCUAAUUCAGGAGCAUCUUGGGCUAGUUAAGAUUCUUUGCCUGCGACAAUCCAAUCACAAUUAUCACACAAGAAAACGACAUAGCCCAAUUUGCAAAAUCUCCCUUGUACAAAGGGAUUAAACGCUACUCCAAUGCACUGGCAGCAGUACUAUUGCUCGCCAUGUUCUGCCGUACUCUAUGUAGUCAGCGGUUGUUGAUCAGAAAGCACAUGUCUCUCCUAGCAUGACCAUCAGGAUCUACAUCUGAGGAGACGCUAAUAAGAGAGAAAACAGGGUACAUGGUCAUGGCCGU
rnacentral:lncRNA from 1 species